rnacentral:rRNA from 1 species
CCGCAAGGGGAGUGGCAGACGGGUGAGUAACGCGUGGGAACAUACCCUCCGGUUCGGAAUAACUCAGGGAAACUUGAGCUAAUACCGGAUACGGCUUAGCGGCGAAAGAUUUAUCGCCGGAGGAUUGGCCCGCGUUCGAUUAGCUAGUUGGUGAGGUAACGGCUCACCAAGGCGACGAUCGAUAGCUGGUCUGAGAGGAUGAUCAGCCACAUUGGGACUGAGACACGGCCCAAACUCCUACGGGAGGCAGCAGUGGGGAAUAUUGGACAAUGGGCGCAAGCCUGAUCCAGCCAUGCCGCGUGAGUGAUGACGGCCUUAGGG